ACACAUAUCACUUGCUUGGUGUUGGAGCUUGACAUCCCUUUCUCCUUUGAACCUUUCAUCGUACUUCUUUUCUCCUUCAAAACUUGAAUUACCUUCAACCAAACCUUGUUUUUCAAGCCUCUAAAGGUAACAUACUUUGGAAUAACCAUGAAUGACGAAAGUGGAACCACUCCAACAAUGGUGUCACCAACUUCACCACAUAGCUCAUGUGUAUCCACUGAGCCUAACCAAGAGGACAACAACAACAACAACACCAACGAUGAUGAUGACGACGACAACAACGAUGAUGACAACAACAACAAUAAUAAUAACAACAACCAUGAAACUCCUUCCUUGGUGCUAGUAGGGUUCCUUCACUACCUUAUAUAUCUGAUGAUCUCUAAGGAUAACCUCAAGUUCCUAAAAUGAAAAAGCACUAAUUUGAUUCAUUUUACCUAAACAUAAGGAGGGGAAAAAUUACUAGGCUGCCUUGUUUCUAAUUAUGCAUUCUAUGUUGCAAGUAAGAAAUGUUAGCAUUUCACCUAGGAA